rnacentral:ribozyme from 1 species
AAAAAUGAUAUAAACACCACCCCCAACUCUCUCUCUUUUUUCCCCUUCCCAUUCUUUUUCUUUUCUUCUUUUCAAUUUUUCGUUUUUA